UACGAAGGGGGCUAGCGUUGCUCGGAAUCACUGGGCGUAAAGCGCACGUAGGCGGCUUUCUAAGUCAGGGGUGAAAUCCUGGAGCUCAACUCCAGAACUGCCUUUGAUACUGGAGAGCUCGAGUCCGGAAGAGGUGAGUGGAACUCCGAGCGUAGAGGUGAAAUUCGUAGAUAUUCGGAAGAACACCAGUGGCGAAGGCGGCUCACUGGUCCGGUACUGACGCUGAUGUGCGAAAGCGUGGGGAGCAAACAGG
rnacentral:rRNA from 1 species